UACCGAGGUCUCAAGCGUUGUUCGGAUUCAUUGGGCGUAAAGGGCUCGUAGGCGGUCUGUUGCGUCGGGAGUGAAAACUUACAGCUUAACUGUGAGCGUGCUUCCGAUACGGGGCAGACUUGAGGUAUUCAGGGGAGAACGAAUUCCUGGUGUAGCGGUGAAAUGCGCAGAUAUCAGGAGGAACACCGGUGGCGAAGGCGGUUCUCUGGGGAAUAUCCUGACUGAGGAGCGAAAAGUGUGGGGGGAGCGAACAGG
rnacentral:rRNA from 1 species